CUCUUGGGUCGUCUGAUAGCUCACCCACUAGAAGAAAUACACGUGGAUAGACCGAAGAGAAAAUAAAAAUCAAAACUUACAAAAGGGAAAGAAAAAUUGAUAUUUAAAGUUACUCUUCUUCCUUCUCUCUUACGAAGGAAUUCCAUUUCAAUGCCGUUUGAAAAUACUGGAAAAAUCUAGUGUGUGUGUGUAUAGUAGAUAGAUCUUGUUUGGAGACAGAGGCGGAACUAUUCAUGGGCUAACCUGAGCUAUAGCCCAGGUCCCAAAAAAAUAUUAAUCUUUGUGUGUCUGAGCACUGAGGCAUACAUCCCUCUAACAGAGGCAAGGGUUUGAAGACUGAAACCUUAAAUCUCAUGAUCAGGUGGCUCCAGCGGCGACCAUAUGUACGGUGGAAACUACUCUUCCUCUUCAUAUUCAAUUCUUCAUCUCAACACGCGGUGGAAACUCCAUCAUAGGGAAAUUUUAUCCUAAGUACUUUCAAGAUGAGAUGCGUGCUUUGAGAAGCUAGUUGGAGCAUUAUAAGAUUGAUGUACUUCAUCAUCCAAGUUUUACUAUGUGGCACCAACGUGGAACUCAAAUCACUAUGUGGCGCUAAGAUUGCACUAGAAUUGGUAUUUCAAGCCAAUUUUGACUAUUAAUUUAUUUUGAAUUUUGACU